CUAUAGAUGCGUAAGGGAUGGAAGCGGCAUCCUCUUGGGGCGGGGUUCGACCCAAGAGAUAUAGUGUACAGCCCGACAGCGC
rnacentral:sRNA from 1 species